AUGACCCGAGGAACCCGCCACUUUCGGAUUGCGAGACAUUUUUGGUACACCCUGUAUUUACUAUUAUUCGGGAUUGGCCACGCGGACCGCUGGACAAUCAUGGCGGUCGCCGCCGAAUUCGGCGCGACCACAUACAAAAUCAUAAUGGCGCGAGGUUCGACUGUACGCGAUGCACCCUAAGAGGGACAGGGCCUGCCAUCUCUAAGCGAGUAGCUCACAUCAUUACGAGAGCAAUCCCUUUGUUUAUGCGAUGUAUCCGCGCGGCGAAUAGUAAGAUUAUACAUCUCGGCGCAACUGUAACGGUCGAACUCUCUCUCUCUUUGCAAGUGCCUUGUGCAUUCGCUGCUGCGAUAGUAUAUUGUUAUUUUUGUUACAUUGUUCGUUAUCAUUGUCGAAUUAUUAAGUUUAUUCUUAUCUACUACACAAGCGAAUUACAGUUCAUUUAGCGAGCAGAUAGUUUACAAACAGGUAAUUUUCUUGCGUCGUGCCAUUAUUGCAAGCAAUUAUUUAACUAUAUCUUUUAAAUUUAGUGCUUUGCGCUAAAUUUCAUGGAAUAUUUAGAACGCGAAUAUCACGUUGUCCGCUAUUGGAUGGUGAAUUGUGAAUUUGGAUCGCCGAAUUUUCAAGAUCGUAUGAAAAGUAACAGAAAAUAGACACCAUUAUCUGGCCGCUCGUGUCAAGCAUUAUCUAGCUGCUAGUACAUCUUGCUGUCCACUCGACGAUAGGCAAUCGAUGUCGAAAAAUUGGUAAUUCGACGAGAAAACGAAUACAACACGGAUGGUCCCGAUAAACGAGUAAAAUAUUUCCGAAAUGCCAUUGCGACACGAUAGCGACUAUGAUAGUAAGAUUACCUAAUUUAUCAAUGUUCCCGGCGUUAUUUACUUAGCUCGAUAAUGCGUUCACACGAUUGUCUAACAGCACCCAUCCACGAGCGGGUUUCUUCCUAUCGGGCGUAGUCGGUGUAACGAGCAAUUUAGCGGUAACGACGGAAAGCUGCUCCGCGCGGACCAUCGUCUCUAGAAAUUGCACCGAUAACGCUGAACCAUCCAGCUCGAUCAAAGUCGCUCAACAUCGAGCCGUGUGUCCCGGUGUCCCACGUGAUCCGCAAUUCGAUCGGACCGCUGUUAUCCGAUACGAUGAAAUUCACACCCGAAUCCCGGAUUAUUCUCCGAACGAUCUUCCGAUAGUGUUGCAGAACCGGUUAACGCGAUCGCGGUGAAACCUUGAGAGAGCCUCCGGAACCUAUUGUUUGCCGCGAGAAGCUCACGUGAUCGCUUCGAAGAAAGAAGCUGCAUCGUAAUCGAAGCUGGUUUAUUUAGUUCAUACAUAUAUAUUCGAUCGAUAAAUAAUAAAUAGUUCCUGGUGAAUAGUAAA